UCCUGGCACAGUGAGUCCGCCGGGCCGCUUGCUGCCGCCCGCGGAGUCUCAGGAGGCGGCCCAGAGCCCUGGACUCGCUGCUGGAGUUUCUCUUAGCCGCUCUGGGGCGGGCGCGAGGACGGGUUGGACCCUAGAACGCGCGGGGCCACGGUGGACAAGGGCGCCUCUACGCAGUCCCCAUUCCCAAGAGUCAGGUCCUCGGGCCGGACCCGAUAUUCCGGCUGCUCAUCUUCCUCUGGGGCGCCCUGCUCAUGCCACCUGCUGGGCUACCCAGCCUUUCUCCCGGGCCAGACCUCGGCUAAGUGGUGGAGCCAUUAGUGGGCAGAAACCAGAACAGAGCGCCGAGCGAUCCCCAAAGCCUCUUUCUGCAGCGCGGUUGCGAGACGGGAAGCGAGCGUGCACCGAGCAGGCACUGAGAUAGUCUCUCCAUCCCUUGCACCAGCUGCCUGGGACUUGCCUUGACCAAUGCAGAGAAAGUGACGUGGUGUGAAUUCCUGUGGUUGGGCCGUCAGCAGUCCUGCAACAGUCACCUUGCUCUCCUAGAACCCUGAGGCCACUGGCUGGGCAGAAGCCGGGUCAGCCUUUGGGAAGAUGAAAGGCCAUGUGGAGGAGGACCGAGGGGCCUCGCCAACAGCCAGGCCUACUGCCAGUAUGUGCAGGAAGUCAUCAUCUUGGAGCCCCUAGUUCUAUUGAACUAACAUGACCAUAGCCCUAGUGUUAACUGCGGAACCUGGUCCUGCUCUGUUUCUACCAAGACCUGGAACCAACGUUUCAACCUUGGAUACACCACUCACAAGCAACACUUGUGAACACCACUCACAGGUAACACUUGUAAACCCUGAACUGUUACCUCUUGAACCCCCACCCUGAGUCCUGGAACAGGAGCGACAUCUGAGCCUUGUCUGCUGUCUCAGCUCCCAAAUAAAGCUCCUUUUUUCUCUCCAAA